AGUGCCCUGACUGGUGUGACGGCCUGGAGAGACAGGCAUCUGUGGGGGUGUAGCUCAAUGGUAGAGCUGGCGGCUC
rnacentral:tRNA from 1 species